GCGGGAGUGGCGGAAUCGGCAGACGCACAGGACUUAAAAUCCUGCGCCCGCAAGGGCAUACGGGUUCAAUUCCCGUCUCCCGCACCA
rnacentral:tRNA from 2 species